rnacentral:rRNA from 1 species
GAUGAACGCUAGCGAUAGGCUUAACACAUGCAAGUCGAGGGGCAGCAUGGUCUUAGCUUGCUAAGACUGAUGGCGACCGGCGCACGGGUGCGUAACGCGUAUGCAACUUGCCUCACAGAGGGGGAUAACCCGUCGAAAGACGGACUAAUACCGCGUACACUCCAUCUUGGGCAUCCAAGGUAGAGGAAAUGAAAUUCGCUGUGAGAUAGGCAUGCGUCCCAUUAGCUAGUUGGUGAGGUAACGGCUCACCAAGGCGACGAUGGGUAGGGGAACUGAGAGGUUGAACCCCCACACUGGUACUGAGACACGGACCAGACUCCUACGGGAGGCAGCAGUGAGGGAGAUUGGUCAAUGGGCGAGAGCCUGAACCAGCCAAGUCGCGUGAAGGAAGACUGUCUUAGGGAUUGUAAACUUCUUUUAUACGGGAAUAACAAGAGUCACGUGUGACUCCCUGCAUGUACCGGAUGAAUAAGCAUCGGCUAACUCCGUG